CUAUUAUUUUCAAUAAAAAAUUCUAACCUAUUUUAUAGCGCUAUUGAACGAAAAGAUGAAAUAUUAGAAGCAGGUUUGUUUGGUUUUAAUAUGGGAAUUAUGGUUUGGGUUUUCCAAGAAGAAGGAAUAUUACCAGUCUCCAUAAUAGCAUUAAUAAUACUCAAAUAAUAAUUCAAGGAAGUGUCACUACAGUUUAUCAAGAAAGAGUAUGUGAUCUCAUCUCCACCUGGCGAUGAGUCUUUUACAUAAGACGGCACCCCUUUUAGUUCAGAAAAAGAAAAGGGAGCAUUAAGGUCUGUAUAACUACAAGGUACAGAGAAAGGAAACCAACACGGGGCAUUUUUAAAGUCAAGGAGCAGAUGAAGGAGCCAGCUUGUCCAUAAAAUUGUCGGCUACUUCAAUAGAAGGUGGACAAGAUAUAGGUAAAGUAAGAACAACCGGUAUAUGAUCACUGCCAUAAGAAUUGUCAAGUACACUCCAGGAUAGCAGUGAGGCCAAACUUGGAGAGCAAAGUGACAAGUCAGGAGCACUGCGGCUUUUAUGGGGACCAGUAUGUCGAUUUUGAGUUCCAUUGUUCAAUAUACAUACAUUAUGAUAGUCUAAAAUAUCUGUCAUCAAUUCACCACAAUAAUUAGAGUUAGAACUGCCCCAUAAUUGAUUUUGACAGUUGAAAUCACCAAGUACUAAAAAUGGGCCAGGUAAGGUAGCAAGUAAUUGACUAAACUCAUUAUAUAAAGCAGAAGAAGGGUGAGGUAUAUACACAGAUAUUAUACAAAUUUUAUUUACAAUCACAGCAAUGGCAUUAAUGGCAUCACUGGGAGGAGGGAGUGAAAAAAUCUUAAAUGGGAAAGCUUUACUAAUAAGUAUGGCCACUCCACCAUGCCAUCAAGUCUCAUUUCUCACAGUAACAAAACCAGAAAUUCUGAAAGAAAACUGGUUUUAACCAUGUCUCAGAGAGACACAUAUCCAUAGGUUUAUAUUUAUUUAGUAAGUAAAUAAUAUCAGUUUUUUUGCUUAUGUGUAAUAUCCUGCAGUUCCACUCAAGGAUUUUGUGGUCCUUAAUUAAAGAUUUGGUUUAAAGAUGUCAAUAAUGAAAUGGCAGCGUUGGACGGUAAAGAGUUAUCACUAGAGAAUGAAUUACUAGAAUUAGAAAGUAAUUUAAUAAGUUCCAAAAUUAAUUCUGCAAUUGAUUGUUGUGGAAUUGUAUUUGAUCUCUGUUUGAACACACAACCAUCAGAUUGGGGAGGGGAAGAAGCUACUACAUCAUUAUAAGGUUUUGAAGAUGGAGGAUGGUUUUAGCUGCCUCUGUAUAUGAUAUGCAACUCUGGGCCAUUGAAACUUUAUUUUUUGUUGUCUACCGAAUUCUGGACAUAGCUUACUAGUGGCAAAGUGACGACCAGUGCAGUGGAGACAGCAUUUUCAGAGACAAUACAGUAGUACACAAGUGUCUGAGGGGUGUUCAUCCCCACAUUUAAAGCAAUGUGACUUUGACCUGCAUUGUAUUUUAGUGUGACCAAAUUUGCAGCAAUUAUAGCACUGGAUGGUAGGAAAAAUGUAUAAUUCAACAGGAAGAGAUGUAUAGCACAUGUAAACCCUUUUAGGUUUUACAAUAUCCGACACAGACUACAUACCACCAUUACUAAUCAUAAAAUUGUAUGAGGUAAACAUGGUAUUAUUACAACUUCCAAAGGUGCUCAUAGAACAUAUAUUCAGUUUUCUAUCAUAUGAAGAAAUAGCAAGAAUAAGAGCGGUGUCUAGAGAAAUUGAUAAAAUAUGUCAAGGUCUCCUAAACCGUGGGUUUUUACAACUAGAAGAGCGACGUAUUCGUGUUCUAAAUAAAAUAGAUUCACUACUACCUUCGUCAGACCGCGAGCGCAUGGAACACCCAUUGAGCACAGUACAUAUGGUGGUAAUGUUAUGCGGUAUGACAAUAUGUAUUCUCGGAGUGACAUACAACAAGUUUAUACAUAAGAAUAAGUGCUGCUUUAUACCCGGGAAAUUGCUGGACCUAAUAAGACGUUUUCUUGACAUGGCGGAGAGUGAGAAAGUAGACGCUGGACCACUGAUGAAACUUUCCGCAGAGUUGAAAAAUAGCUCUAGAAUAGCUAUGGAUCAUUUCCACAACUCAGUUGUGAUUGACUUUGAUAUUCUUUCUUUAAUUGAAUAGAAAGGUGUGCUGUCUUGAUACGAGGAGCACACUUUUUUUUUAUAUUUUUUUUUUAUGGAAUAGGAGGACAAACUGAAGAAUGAUCGGGAAUAAGAAAACCACGUGCACGCUUAAAUUGUAUUUUAUUGUUUUUCGAAGUAUUCUCCGUUCAACUUAGGCUAGGGUUACUAUGGAUGCGAGUUCUGACGAAAAAUUGUUCUGACGAGUUCUGACGGAUUCGUCUGAAGAAACAAAUGCCUGGUAUCCAAUGACAGUGUUUACACUGGCAACGACGAACGCGUCAGAACAUGCACGACGUCGUACGUCGGACGUACUCGUCAGAACUCGCAUCCAUAGUAACCCUAGCCUAAAUUGCACUUUUCCAUUCGUGCAAACCAAUCAUUAAAACAGUAAUUCCAAUCUGGAGUUGAUGUUGACAAAAUGGCUGAUUUGUACGCUUCCACAGCUGCUUCGGGGCCUUCAAACCGUUGACCGCGUAAUAAAUCUUUCAUUCAGGUCAACGUUUUCCUGCUUCAAAAAAAUAAUUUGACUUCCGAGCCGUAUGGGAGCUCGCAUUAUCGUGAUGUAAGAUGAUACGACGUUUCGGGUUAUUUUUUCGGAGUUCGGCUAUCAUUUAUGGCAAUCAAACCGUGAUAUACCACUCAGCUGUAACCGUUUUGAUUUCCUGUAAAUAAAUUGUAGCAACAUGCCCCUUUUUCGAGACAAACGUAGCGACCAUUUUCUUUGACACGCUGCGGGAGCGAACCACUUUCAUUGGUUUAACGUCUUCUCCGAAGACCCAAACUGCUGACUGAUGUUUUCUUUCAGGUUCGUAUGAAUAAAUCCAUGAUUAGUCUCCUGCGAUAUUAUAAACGAGAUUUGACUUCCCUCCAUUGAAGCGUAGCAGAGUAUUCCGGCACCAAUCUACACGAGCCGCCUUCCGCUCUUCGGACAAAUUGUGGGGAACCCAGCGGGAAACUAGCUUUCUUACGUGUGUAACACACACAACUUACGUGUAGCUCAUUAUGUAAUAUCGACUGAAUUGCACUCAUUCCGAUAUUGAUAACAGCCUGAAUGUGCUCGUAUGUCACAUGACGGUCAUCUAAUACAAUAGUUCGCACAGCUGCGAUGUUUUCAGGCGUGACCGCUUUCCUGGGCGACCUGCAGAAGAAACAGUGCUGAGCGACACACGACCGCGUCGGAACUCGGCAUAUCAGCGGUAUAUUGUCGUUUAACUCAGUGCUUCAACAUCAUAAAUCAAAAGAAGUUCGCUGAGACAUUUAUCUUGAGAUAAGCCGCGACGAAAAUUAUGAUAAAUUAUGGCACGGAAGUGUUCACGCGUGAGCUCCAUUUCUGUUAACGACGUCUCAACUUUAAACCAACAUAGUUUUGUUUUUGAGCUUUUUUUUUAUUUGUAUGAAUGUCAUUAAGAUUCUAAGAGGCCAGUUUUCAAAUGCUAACAAAGGUUUUAUUGUAACUCAAUCCGAAAUAUUCUAUUCCCGAUCAUAUCAGUGUCAUCUGCAUUUCGAAUGCGGUGUAAGGGGGCCAUAUAUAUCCGAUCAUGAUGCUUGUUUGACCCAGCAGUUUAAAUACGUCCGCGUCAGGACAUAAUCGAUUUUACUAGAAUAACUACAUUACCAGUAACUGGGUUCGACAUUGGAAGGGAAAUUCGAAUUUCGAUUACUAUUAUUUCAUCAAGAAGAUGUUUACCUUGAAUGUAGACGUAAAAGUUUAUAGACACUGGUGUUCUAGAUGUAAGAUUUAUGUAAGUAAGUAAAUGUGUGAGUAUGCAAAUAAAGAACCUGCUGAUGACAACCUAA